rnacentral:rRNA from 1 species
CUGCAUGGUUGUCGUCAGCUCGUGCCGUGAGGUGUCGGGUUAAGGUCCCAUAACGAGCGCAACCCCUACCUUAGUUGCCAUCAGGUAAUGCUGGGGACGUCUAAAGGAACUGCCUACGCAAGUAGUGAGGAAGGCGGGGAGUGACGUCAAAUCAGCACGGCCCUUACGUCCAGGGCUACACACGUGCUACAAUGGCCGAUACAGAGGGCAGCUACCUGGUGACAGGAUGCAAAUCUCCAAAGUCGGUCUCAGUUCGGAUCGGAGUCUGCAACCCGACUCCGUGAAGUUGGAUUCGCUAGUAAUCGCGCAUCAGCCAUGGCGCGGUGAAUACGUUCCCGGGCCUU